rnacentral:rRNA from 1 species
UUUAAAGUAUAGCCUGCCCCCUGAGUAGUUAAAUGGCUGCGGUAAUCUGACCGUGCAAAGGUAGCAUAAUAACUAGUUUUUUAAUUGAAAGCUUGAAUGAAAGGUUGGACGAGAAAAAAACUGUCUCUAUUUAAUUUAAUUAGAAUUUUAUUUUUAAGUAAGAAAGCUUAAAUAAAUUUGAAAGACGAGAAGACCCUAUAGAAUUUUAUAUUUAUUUUAAUAUUGGGAUGUGAGGUAUAAUUGGUUUUGGUAUUAUAGUGAAUAUUUUGUUGGGGCGAUAGAAAAAUUUAAGUAACUUUUUUUAAAUUUAUCCAUUAAUUUAUGAGUAAAUGAUCCAUAUUUUAUGAUUGUAAGAUUAAAUUACCUUAGGGAUAACAGCGUAAUCUUUUUUAAGAGUUCAUAUCGAAAAAAAGGGUUGCGACCUCGAUGUUGGAUUAAAGUUAACUUUUGGUGUAGGAGCUAAAACGUUAGGUCUGUUCGACCUUUAAAAUUUUACA